GACGAACCGUGCAAACGUUGUUCGGAAUCACUGGGCGUAAAGCGCACGUAGGCGGAUUGUUAAGUCAGGGGUGAAAUCCUGGAGCUCAACUCCAGAACUGCCUUUGAUACUGGCGAUCUCGAGUCCGGGAGAGGUGAGUGGAACUGCGAGUGUAGAGGUGAAAUUCGUAGAUAUUCGCAAGAACACCAGUGGCGAAGGCGGCUCACUGGCCCGGUACUGACGCUGAGGUGCGAAAGCGUGGGGAGCAAACAGG
rnacentral:rRNA from 1 species